GACAGAGGAUGCAAGCGUUAUCCGGAAUGAUUGGGCGUAAAGCGUCUGUAGGUGGCUUUUAAGUCCGCCGUCAAAUCCCAGGGCUCAACCCUGGACAGGCGGUGGAAACUACCAAGCUGGAGUACGGUAGGGCAGAGGGAAUUUCCGGUGGAGCGGUGAAAUGCGUAGAGAUCGGAAAGAACACCAACGGCGAAAGCACUCUGCUGGGCCGACACUGACACUGAGAGACGAAAGCUAGGGGAGCGAAUGGGAUUAGAACCUACCGAGUCAGUCCAAGCCAGU
rnacentral:rRNA from 1 species